UAGCACAUAUGAAAAUUAUGUUAGCCCCGACGAGAUGCUGCUCUCCCUUCGCUCCAUCACGCAUCUAUGCGAUGCCAUGCCACAUAUAUUGGGCCUGUUUCAACCAUCAUCGAUUAGUCAUAUGAUCAAGUCCAAUCGGGUCAAAAAAUAGAUCCAGGAAAAUGGUAAAACUAAAAUCAUAUACGGAGGGAAAUUAAAUCAAUGGAAUUUUCAUAGCAGAUCCAUGUCCUAAUUAUAUUUAGAAAGCAUGAUUUGCAUGUACCAUCAAUUAGGCCAAGAUUUCAGCAAAAAAUAAAGAAAAAAUAGAGAAAAGUGUUGGUAGUAGCAGCGCCAGAACGCCCGCUCGAGAGCAGUAGCUGCUGCUGCGACGUCACUGGAGGAAGGUGCCCACGCUACCGCCAUGCCCAUCUCCGCCACCGCGCAUCGGAUCCGUAGCCGCGACGCGCCGACAACCAGCUAAGGAGGCGCCCGACCGACCCGCCGAGGAGCGGGCGCCGCGGAGGAUCUUGACGACGC
rnacentral:lncRNA from 1 species